GGUUGGUCUGAGUGCAGUGGUGUUUACAACUAAUUGAUCACAACCAGUUACAGAUUCCUUUGUUCCUUCUCCACUCUCACUGUUUUACUUGACCAGCCUAAU
rnacentral:Y_RNA from 1 species